GCCGCAGUGGGUGGUGGGAUGCCGGCGGGGCCUGGAGGCGGAGGCCGGUGGGAAGCGGGAGCUGUUGUCCUGGAGGGAGGGCUGGGAGGCCGGCAAUCGGCCCCGUGAGCCUUCGCCGGCUGGGCCAGCCUCCUGGGAGUCUAGGGCGUAGGAGUUCUGGGAUUUUCCAAAUGGGGCUUAGGACUCCUGGCUCCGGCCUUACUGGCCUUUCCCCACAAGGACGGCUUCUCUGUCUUCCUUGGAGUUGGUGGGGUUUGGACCGUUAUUUUUGACGGUCCCCAGUGUGUAAGCACUGGUUGUCCUGCGCUGGGCGCCGUGCAGAGCGCCAUGAGGUAGAAGCGGGUGGGGGGGAGGCAGGGGGAGGGUUUAGAGAUGCUUGCGAUGUGGUCCUUACCUACGUGAAGCGUUGGAGGUUGACGUGAAAAAUCUGGCUUUGAUACCUUCACGGAGUACUACAUUAUUUCAGUCCUGAAUCUGGUUCAGUUCUCUUAUUGACUUAUUAUAUUAAAGAUGUUUUUUAAAUUGA